AUGUUGGGAUUCGGGCGAAGAAAGUUUCUUUCCUUCCCACUAGUUAUCGGUGCCGUCAUUAUUGGCGUUGUUUCUGGUAAAUCAAUAUUUGGACCUCCACUUGAUGAGUACUGGAAAAAGAAGCGUCAGGAAGAAGAAGCUGCCACCGCCACCGCCGCCGCCGCCGCUACAGUUAAAGAAAAUGACUCAAUCAAAACCUAG